CCUACGGGGGGCAGCAGUGGGGGAUAUUGCACAAUGGGCGCAAGCCUGAUGCAGCGACACCGCGUGAGCGAAGAAGUAUUUCGGUAUGUAAAGCCCUAUCAGCAGGGAAGAAAAUGACGGUACCUGACUAAGAAGCUCCGGCUAAAUACGUGACAGCCGCCGCGGUAAUAUGGAUGGAGCAAGCGUUAUCCGGAUUUACUGGGGUUAAAGGGAGCGGAGGCGGCCCUGUAAGUCCGAUGUGAAAAUUUGGGGCUCAACCCCAAACGUGCAUUGGAAACUGCAGGGCUUGAGUGCAGGAGAGGCAGGCGGAAUGCCUAGUGUAGCGGUGAAAUGCGUAGAUAUUAGGAAGAACACCAGUGGCGAAGGCGGCCUGCUGGACGGUAACUGACGCUGAGGCUCGAAAGCGUGGGGAGCAAACAGGAUUAGAUACCCUUGUAGUC
rnacentral:rRNA from 1 species